rnacentral:rRNA from 1 species
AUGGAAAGGUUUCUAAAAAAGAGGAGAACCUCAGUGCAAGAUGAAAAUGUUGAUCCGUCACACGAACAUAAUCAGAACGAUGGCUCAGUUCCGCCACCAUCGGAUGGACAAAUUGAUGCAUCACCACAUGAACAGACUGAUGUUCCAGCCCCGCCAUCACCACAUGGACAAAAUGAUGCCUCCACACAUGAACCUAGUUCUGCCAAUACUACAAGGAAUUCAUCUCAAGUUGAAGAGAUCAAUUGGGAAGAAGAAAUUCAGUUUGAUCCAGGUAAAAGGAGAAGCAUAGAUGAGUACCAUCCCAAUCAGAGAGAUAUGGUAAGAAGGAAGUAUUUGGCCAAUGACCCUUGUCAACCUCGUACUGCUGAUUUUGAAGUGACAGAAAUAUGUGGUAAAGAUAGAAGGUUCGUUCGGGAAUGGUUUGAUGAGUUUGGGAGCUGGCUUGAGUAUAGUGAGUCCAAACGAAAAGCAUAUUGUUUUUGUUGUUUCUUGUUUAGACCGCGCAAGAAGAAAGAAGCCGGAUAUGAUGCAUUUGUUGCAAAUGGUUGGUCAAGUUGGAAUAAAAAAUAUAGAUUAAAGGAGCAUGUAGGAGACAUCAAUAGUGCUCACAACCAAGCAAAAAGAGAUUGUGAUGCUUUGCUGAAACAAAAGCAACACAUCUAUGUUGCUCUAAACAACCAAAGUAAUGUUGAGAGGAAUGCUUAUUAUACUCGACUAAAUGCCUCAAUUGAUGUUACUAGAGUGUUACUGAAGCAAGGGUUGCCUUUCCGUGGCCACGAUGAGUCUGACGAGUCUCUCAAUAAAGGUAAUUUCGAGGAAUUUCAUGCUUACACAGCAGAGCAGAAUCCGGAGGUAAGAAAAGUUGUGGCCCAUAAUGCUCCAGGUAAUAAUCAGUUGACUUCUUCAAAGAUUCAGAAGGACAUAGUUGAAUGUUUUGCAAAGGAGAUAUUGCAUUCUGUUCUUCGGGAAAUUGGGAAUGAUGUAUUUUCUUUGCUAGCUGAUGAAUCAAGGGAUGUGGCUGGUAAAGAGCAAAUGGCGGUGGUAUUGCGGUAUGUUGGUAAAUGUGGAAGUGCCAUAGAGACAUUAGUUGGCCUUACUCAUGUGAAGGAGACAACUUCCAAGUAUCUCAAGUCUGCCAUUGAUGAUUUAUUUGCAGAAUAUAAAUUAAGUUUCAAGCAAGUUAGAGGGCAAGGAUAUGACGGUGCGAGCAAUAUGCGAGGUGAGUUUAAUGGCUUACAAUCCUUAAUCAUGAGAGAGAAUAGCACAUCAUAUUAUGUUCACUGUUUUGCCCAUCAGCUUCAGUUAGUUGUUGUGGCUGUUGUUCGGAAGCACAAAUGCAUUGGUAAUUUUUUUGAUAUGAUCUCAGUCUUGUUGAAUGUGGUCUCUGGAUCCUCAAAGAGAAAGGACAUGAUUCAAGACAAACAUAAAGAACAAGUGUGUGAAGCUUUAGGUUGUGGACUGCUAAAAAGUGGGACAGGAUUAAAUCAAGAACUAGCUCUUCAAAGACCUGGAGACACUCGAUGGAGUUCUCACUACAAGACACUUAAGAGUUUGAUUGAUAUGUUCCGUACAGUUGUCAAAGUGCUAGAAUAUGUGGAAGAAGAAGACAGGGAUGACACAAAUAGAAGGCAGGCAUGUGGUCUUCUUGUUUAUUUCCAGUCUUUUGAUUUUGUGUUCUACUUACAGCUUAUGUCCACUAUAUUGAUAAUCACAAACACAUUAUCAUUGGCUCUACAACGGAAGAAUCAGGACAUUGUGAAUGCUAUUAAUUGUGUGAAUUCAACCAAAGCCUCCUUGAAUGAUCUAAGGAGAAAUGGAUGGGAAUCUGUCCUACAUGAAGCGUAUGUCUUUUGUGACAAGCAUGCCAUUUCCAAGUUGCAAAUGGAAGACCAAUAUGUGAAUCCAAAGAAGCCACGGCAAAAAACAGGUAUCACUAAUAGGCAUCAUUAUGAAGUGGAUUGUUUUAAUGAUGUUAUUGAUUGGCUGCUUCAACAACUUGAUAAUCGCUUCAAUGAGAAAAAUUCUGAACUACUUGUUUGCUCAGCGGCUUUGAGCCCAAAUGAAUCAUUUCAUGAUUUCAACUUAGAACAUUUGAUGAGUCUAGCUAAACUUUAUCCAAAAGAUUUUGAUGAUGGAGAACUCAGGGACCUUAGGCAUCACCUUCAUCUUUACAUUGCUGAUGUCCGAGCAGAUGAUCGCUUCUCUGGAUUAAGUAAUAUUUGUGAGCUCUCUCAAAAAAUGGUGGAGACAAGAAAACAUAUUGUCUAUCCCUUGGUUUACCGACUUUUGAAGCUAGCACUAGUAUUGCCUGUUGCCACUGCUACAGUUGAGAGAUCUUUUUCAGCUAUGAGAAUUGUGAAGACAUAUUUGCGCAAUCGUCUUGGUGACGACACCUUGAAGUACGAACUUAUUUGUUAUGUGGAGAAAAGCGAAAUGAGGAAGGUUACUAAUGAUGCGGUAAUUGAUCGCUUUCAAGCCAUGAAAAAACGUCGGAAAUCAUUUUAG